AUCUCUUCUCAGCCUUUUGGCUAAGAUCAAGUGUAGUAUCUGUUCUUAUCAGUUUAAUACAUUUUACAAUUCUGAAUGGGUGCAAGCCAACAGCAACAAACUUUACUGGAGUCUUAGACUAAAAUAAAAAAAAUCAACCCAAA
rnacentral:snRNA from 1 species